rnacentral:rRNA from 1 species
AUUGAACGCUGGCGGCAGGCCUAACACAUGCAAGUCGAGCGGAUGAAGGGAGCUUGCUCCUGGAUUCAGCGGCGGACGGGCGAGUAAUGCCUAGGAAUCUGCCUGGUCGUGGGGGAUAACGUCCGGAAACGGGCGCUAAUACAGCAUACGUCCUGAGGGAGAAAGUGGGGGAUCUUCGGACAUCACGCUAUCAGAUGAGCCUAGGUCGGAUUAGCUAGUUGGUGGGGUAAAGGCCUACCAAGGCGACGAUCCGUAACUGGUCUGAGAGGAUGAUCAGUCACACUGGAACUGAGACACGGUCCAGACUCCUACGGGAGGCAGCAGUGGGGAAUAUUGGACAAUGGGCGAAAGCCUGAUCCAGCCAUGCCGCGUGUGUGAAGAAGGUCUUCGGAUUGUAAAGCACUUUAAGUUGGGAGGAAGGGCAGUAAGUUAAUACCUUGCUGUUUUGACGUUACCAACAGAAUAAGCACCGGCUAACUUCGUG